CCUUUGCAGUUUUCUGAACCUCUGCCAUAGGGUUUAUUGGCUUGGCAUCUCAGUGGUGCAUGGACAGAUGGACGGAGACCACAGCAAUAGAGUAGGCAAUUUCCCAAGAGAAAAAGGUCAUACAAAGACACAGUGAGAAGGCAGCUCCCUGAAAGCCACGAAGAGAGGCCUCAGCAGAAACCAACUCUGCCGGCGUGUUGAUCUUGAACUUCCAGCCUUCAGAACCGUGAGAAAAUAAAUUUGUGUUGUUUAAGCUACCCAGCCUGUAGUAUUUUGUUAUAGAAGCCCAAGCUGAUUAAUAAAAUGUGUUGCUCCAUUAAAAGAGCUCUCUCUUCUUCACAGUUGGAUAUGACUUUAUAUUAAUUUUUCUUGCAUGUGAUUUUGCCUAGAAUGCUGUACCAGUCAGUGGCCCCUCCUAUUGUAAAAAAACAAUCUCUUAUAUAAGCUUACUUAUUUGGUAGACAGGCUGGUUUUCAAAUGUGCUGUGGUUUCACCCUCUCUCAGUGUUUUUAUCAGAGUACAGCCAGAGGAGCAGAACCAAUGGGAAGUAAGUGUGUGUUUGUGUGUGUGUGUGUGUGUGCGCGCGCGUGCGCCCCAAGUCCACAGAGUAAACAUUCAUGAAGGAAGGAUCCAGAGGUAAUAGAGUUGCAGCUCCAACUGUUGCGUCAUGCCAAUGAGGUCAAUCAGCAGAUCUGCAACAAUGAGUUCUGGAGACGAGAAACCUGAAAGCAGUGUCACGGGGCUGAAAUCAAGGCGUUGGCAGGGCUGUGCUCCUUCUUGGAGGGCUAGGGGAGACUCCAUUUCUUGCCCCUUCCAGCUUCUGGUGGUUGUCAGCAUUUCUUGACUUGUGAGUAUAUCCAGUCUGCAAGGCCAGGAUCUUCAAAUCUCUGUCCACUGUAUCUUCAUAUCACCCUCAGAAGUGUAUAUGUGAAAUCUCUGUCUCCCUCUUGUAAUGACACAUAUGAUGGCAUUUACGGCCCAACUCGAUAAUACCAGAUAAGCUCCUCCUUUCAAGACCCUGAAUUUCAUAAUAUCUUUUGCCGUGUAAGGUAACAUUCAGAGAUUCCAGGGAUUUAGAAGUGUAUAUAUCUUUUCGCAGGGCCACUGUUCAACCCACCCCAGCCUUUAAUACGUUCUGAGUACUGUGGAUCUCUAGGAUGAGCUGAGAGUCACAGAGUGUUUCUUGAACCUCAGUGACAAGGCAACUCUCCUUUCACGUACUUUUUGCUGGAUUGGUAUUCUGAGGAAUACACUUUGGAAAAUCUUAGCAAGAGAAGAUGAGUCUUGGAGAAAAGUCAAAGCCAAUCAGUCCAGCUGCCCUUCUCUCUGUGGAUCUGGAUUUUAUUUGACUGAGGCAGAUGGCACUUUCCUUGAUUCAGGAGAUGAUAUCAUCACACAGACAAACUAGGGAAAAAAUCAGCAAUUUCACAGGGACACCUAAGCCAGACUCCACAGGUGAAGAAUCUCUAGGGAAUGGUAAAGAUAGCAUUAUAUUACAAUUUCAAAACCUGGAUUGGAUUCUUGGUCCCCCUACAUAUAAGCUACAUGAUCCCAGGAAAGUAUUUCAACUUUCCUAAGACUCUGUUUUCUCAUCUAUGAAGUACAGAUAAUAACCACACCUACCUGCUUGUGUCAUGUGAAUACCAUCUGUAAA